UCAGGAUGAACGCUAGCGACAGGCUUAACACAUGCAAGUCGAGGGGCAGCGGUGGUGAAGGCUUGCCUUUACCAGCCGGCGACCGGCGCACGGGUGAGUAACACGUAUGCAACCUGCCUGCCACAGCCGGAUAAUCGGGAGAAAUUCCGUCUAAUACGGCAUAAUGCAUCGACGGGACAUCCUGUUGGUGCCAAAGGUUGAUUCCGGUGGCGGAUGGGCAUGCGUCGCAUUAGUUAGUUGGCGGUGUAACGGACCACCAAGACGACGAUGCGUAGGGGUUCUGAGAGGAAGGUCCCCCACACUGGUACUGAGACACGGACCAGACUCCUACGGGAGGCAGCAGUGAGGAAUAUUGGUCAAUGGGCGGGAGCCUGAACCAGCCAAGUCGCGUGAGGGAUGACGGCCCUAUGGGUUGUAAACCUCUUUUGCCGGGGAGCAAAGUGCCGCACGUGUGCGGUUUGGAGAGUACCCGGAGAAAAAGCAUCGGCUAACUCCGUGCCAGCAGCCGCGGUAAUACGGAGGAUGCGAGCGUUAUCCGGAUUUAUUGGGUUUAAAGGGUGCGUAGGCGGACGCUUAAGUCAGCGGUAAAAUUGCGGGGCUCAACCUCGUCGAGCCGUUGAAACUGGGUGCCUUGAGUGGGCGAGAAGUACGCGGAAUGCGUGGUGUAGCGGUGAAAUGCAUAGAUAUCACGCAGAACUCCGAUUGCGAAGGCAGCGUACCGGCGCCCAACUGACGCUGAAGCACGAAGGCGUGGGUAUCGAACAGGAUUAGAUACCCUGGUAGUCCACGCAGUAAACGAUGAAUGCUAGUUGUCCGGGGCGAUUGAGUUCUGGGUGACACAGCGAAAGCGUUAAGCAUUCCACCUGGGGAGUACGCCGGCAACGGUGAAACUCAAAGGAAUUGACGGGGGCCCGCACAAGCGGAGGAACAUGUGGUUUAAUUCGAUGAUACGCGAGGAACCUUACCCGGGCUCAAACGCAGGAGAGAUGUUUUUGAAAGGAGGCAGCCAGCAAUGGUCUCCUGCGAGGUGCUGCAUGGUUGUCGUCAGCUCGUGCCGUGAGGUGUCGGCUUAAGUGCCAUAACGAGCGCAACCCCUACCUACAGUUGCCAUCGCGUGAUGGCGGGCACUCUGUGGGGACUGCCUGCGCAAGCAGUGAGGAAGGCGGGGAUGACGUCAAAUCAGCACGGCCCUUACGUCCGGGGCGACACACGUGUUACAAUGGCAGGUACAGCGGGAAGCCACCCGGCGACGGGGCGCGGAACCCGAAAACCUGUCUCAGUUCGGAUUGGAGUCUGCAACCCGACUCCAUGAAGCUGGAUUCGCUAGUAAUCGCGCAUCAGCCACGGCGCGGUGAAUACGUUCCCGGGCCUUGUACACACCGCCCGUCAAGCCAUGGAAGCCGGGGGUGCCUGAAGUGCGUGACCGCAAGGAGCGCCCUAGGGUAAAACCGGUGACUGGGGCUAAGUCGUAACAAGGUAACC
rnacentral:rRNA from 1 species